CUCACAAUCGGAUUUAAAACCUCAUCGAUUACAUGCAGAACUUGCGAUUUGCUUGGAACAUUGUUAUUUUCGGAGCGAUAGUCGGAGAGGUCGGGUAUAAUUCGCGCAUUAUUCACAUCCUUGGUCUCCUUGGCGUACCAUACCAUAUGAUAAUUGAUGACAUCGUUCAACUGUCUACCGGAAUACCAUUCGAAGGCCUCGUUCGUUGGGGCGAAAACAGUCAACUCGCCAUAUUGAAGAUUAAGUUUCGACGAUCGAUUACUUUCGAUUAGGGCUAGAAACUGACCAAGUUUUGGCGUCUGGCGUAUCUUCUGAUAAACGGUCGGCUUCCAAGACUUUGCGUAAGCGAGAGCCCGACAGAGUAAUAUUAAGCACAAUAGUUUAAUGAACAUAAUUUAAGUGAGCACUAACGAGUUUAUCUAAACUAUGUAAAAGUUUAAGAAGGCGUUAAAGGUUAUCGUUUCAAUCAUUGCGUUAAAACACACGAUUUUAGUGUUGAUGUUGUUAUUUAUGUAAAUGUAAAAUAUCUACUAAGUGAAGUUAAAAUUUUAUAUCAAAAAAAUGAGAACGAAUUCAUUAAAAAACCUAUGAGACAAAUUUAAAUGUGACAAUGUCCAAUUAUUUUAGCGGCAACUCAAUUAGCACGUUUUAUGUGCUGAAUGUUUUAUGAGGUGUUUUAAUAUUCUGCUCUAUUCUAAGAUUUUCUUAAUUAUAAUUUACACCCUUCUGUGUUGCUUUGGUCUCAAAUGACCACCUGGCAUGGCAUAACAAGGAAACGUCCCGAAUGUGCUUUUCAUAUGAUUGACUUUAACAAAGUUAAAGAAAACACCAAGAAGGUUACCGUUAGCGACCCAAUAGGAGUUGUACCCCCAAGGAAAAGCACUGAUUGACUCGUGUACUAGACGCCACCGAAGGGCUGACUUAUACGCAGCUACCACCAACCACUUGAGUUGAGCAAGUCUUUGCUUUCCUACACAAGCUCCUGAGGCUGGGAAUUUGGCUCUAGUUCAUCGGUUACGCGAGUACAAAACAGACCUCAGCUCAGGCCAGGUACCCAUAAAUGAAGAGGGGUGUUUAGUAGGUACUAACUUGGGCAAUCAAAUGGUAUAGACCUACCUCGAAGAUCGCCGCUUCACCUUACGCACCGACAGUCGAGCCCUGCAAUGGAUAGACCGGACAAAGGACGACAGAAGCAAAGUGACAGUGUGGGCGAUGCUGAUGCAAAAAUGCACGUUCUCAUUCGAAAACUGCGCCAUGGACCAUCAGAAUUAACUAGCCGAGCGCUUGUCCCGUAACCCAGAAGCAAUAGGUACCACACACAACUGGGUCCACCACCUGUAUUUUUAUGAUAGUUUUAUUGUUGAAUUAGAAUAAUAAUAAUAAUAAUAAUAAUAAUGUUUAUUUCCAAUGAACAUCAUAUAGUACAAAAGGAAAAAGAAAAAGUACAUUCAGAUUGGAAAAAGGACCACAUUCAGUGCGAAAAUUACCAACAAAUCACCUUAGGUCUAAAUUUGUUUAGGUCUCAUUAACGUUAUUCCCUGAAUAAUUUCAUGUAGGUACGAGUAAGUACACGAAAUUGUUGAUACACCCAUUUUUGGUUGUACCUAGGGAUUAAUUUAAAUUUCUAAAUUUGUAAAAUGACCGGAUGUUCGCAUACAUAUUGCUCUGUACGUUUGACAAUAAAGACUGUUUGCGAA